GAUGAACGCUGGCGGCGUGCCUAAUACAUGCAAGUCGAGCGAACGGACGAGAAGCUUGCUUCUCUGAUGUUAGCGGCGGACGGGUGAGUAACACGUGGAUAACCUACCUAUAAGACUGGGAUAACUUCGGGAAACCGGAGCUAAUACCGGAUGAUAUUUUGAACCGCAUGGUUCAAAAGUGAAAGACGGUCUUGCCGUCACUUAUAGAUGGAUCCGCGCUGCAUUAGCUAGUUGGUAAGGUAACGGCUUACCAAGGCAACGAUGCAUAGCCGACCUGAGAGGGUGAUCGGCCACACUGGAACUGAGACACGGUCCAGACUCCUACGGGAGGCAGCAGUAGGGAAUCUUCCGCAAUGGGCGAAAGCCUGACGGAGCAACGCCGCGUGAGUGAUGAAGGUCUUCGGAUCGUAAAACUCUGUUAUUAGGGAAGAACAUAUGUGUAAGUAACUGUGCACAUCUUGACGGUACCUAAUCAGAAAGCCACGGCUAACUACGUGCCAGCAGCCGCGGUAAUACGUAGGUGGCAAGCGUUAUCCGGAAUUAUUGGGCGUAAAGCGCGCGUAGGCGGUUUUUUAGGUCUGAUGUGAAAGCCCACGGCUCAACCGUGGAGGGUCAUUGGAAACUGGAAAACUUGAGUGCAGAAGAGGAAAGUGGAAUUCCAUGUGUAGCGGUGAAAUGCGCAGAGAUAUGGAGGAACACCAGUGGCGAAGGCGACUUUCUGGUCUGUAACUGACGCUGAUGUGCGAAAGCGUGGGGAUCAAACAGGAUUAGAUACCCUGGUAGUCCACGCCGUAAACGAUGAGUGCUAAGUGUUAGGGGGUUUCCGCCCCUUAGUGCUGCAGCUAACGCAUUAAGCACUCCGCCUGGGGAGUACGACCGCAAGGUUGAAACUCAAAGGAAUUGACGGGGACCCGCACAAGCGGUGGAGCAUGUGGUUUAAUUCGAAGCAACGCGAAGAACCUUACCAAAUCUUGACAUCCUUUGACAACUCUAGAGAUAGAGCCUUCCCCUUCGGGGGACAAAGUGACAGGUGGUGCAUGGUUGUCGUCAGCUCGUGUCGUGAGAUGUUGGGUUAAGUCCCGCAACGAGCGCAACCCUUAAGCUUAGUUGCCAUCAUUAAGUUGGGCACUCUAAGUUGACUGCCGGUGACAAACCGGAGGAAGGUGGGGAUGACGUCAAAUCAUCAUGCCCCUUAUGAUUUGGGCUACACACGUGCUACAAUGGACAAUACAAAGGGCAGCGAAACCGCGAGGUCAAGCAAAUCCCAUAAAGUUGUUCUCAGUUCGGAUUGUAGUCUGCAACUCGACUACAUGAAGCUGGAAUCGCUAGUAAUCGUAGAUCAGCAUGCUACGGUGAAUACGUUCCCGGGUCU
rnacentral:rRNA from 1 species